rnacentral:rRNA from 1 species
GACGAACGCUGGCGGCGUGCUUAACACAUGCAAGUCGAACGGAAAGGCCCUGCUUUUGUGGGGUGCUCGAGUGGCGAACGGGUGAGUAACACGUGAGUAACCUGCCCUUGACUUUGGGAUAACUUCAGGAAACUGGGGCUAAUACCGGAUAGGAGCUCCUGCUGCAUGGUGGGGGUUGGAGAGUUUCGGCGGUUGGGGAUGGACUCGCGGCUUAUCAGCUUGUUGGUGGGGUAGUGGCUUACCAAGGCUUUGACGGGUAGCCGGCCUGAGAGGGUGACCGGCCACAUUGGGACGGAGAUACGGCCCAGACUCCUACGGGAGGCAGCAGUGGGGAAUAUUGCACAAUGGGCGGAAGCCUGAUGCAGCAACGCCGCGUGCGGGAUGACGGCCUUCGGGUUGUAAACCGCUUUCGCCUGUGACGAAGCGUGAGUGACGGUAAUGGGUAAAGAAGCACCGGCUAACUACGUG